CUCCUCUAUAAAUAGAAGUACCUUGUUAGUAACAUUUGCGAAACUGAAGCUGAAGCAAUACAUAAAUGAAUGAUAGUUGCUUCGUGUAUGUUGUCCGGACAAAAAUUUCCACUAUGCGCAGGGGCAAAGUCUCCUAGUAUGCUGAUGUGAGCCAUCACAGGAAAGCAUUGAUUGUGUUCGAGUAUACAAGCAAGCUCCUGGGUUCAAGUGUUUAGGAGCAUUAUCAACAACUUCUGCUGGCUGAUCAGCUCCAAUGCUUGCUAAACAUGUUCCUUUGCAACUCAUAUAUUUCUGCAUAACGUCGCAAUGAUUAAGCACCAGAAGCUUAUUUAAGACGCAUGAUUGUC
rnacentral:misc_RNA from 1 species